GACUCGAUGGCGGACGGUCCGCGCCUGCUCCUCAUGGGCAUAUUGGCUUGUUCCCAGCAGGAGCUCCCGGUUCGAUUCCGGCUCGAGUCA